AUUGAACGCUGGCGGCAGGCCUAACACAUGCAAGUCGAGCGGAAGAAGGGAGCUUGCUCCUGGAUUCAGCGGCGGACGGGUGAGUAAUGCCUAAGAAUCUGCCUGGUUGUGGGGGAUAACGUCCGGAAACGGGCGCUACUACCGCAUACGUCCUGAGUGUGAAAGUGGGGGCUCUUCGGACCUCACUCUAUCAGAUUAGCCUAGGUCGGAUUAGCUAGUUGGUGGGGUAAAGACCUACCAAGGCGACGAUCCGUAACUGGUCUGAGAGGAUGAUCAGUCACACUAGAACUGAGACACGGUCCAGACUCCUACGCGAGGCAGCGGUGGGGAAUAUUGGACAAUGGGCGAAAGCCUUGUCCAGCCAUGCCGCGUGUGUGAAGAAGGUCUUCGGAUUGUAAAGCACUUUAAGUUGGGAGGAAAGGCAGUAAGUUAAGACCUUGCUGUUUUGACGUUACCAACAGAAUAAGCACCGGCUAACUUCGUG
rnacentral:rRNA from 1 species